rnacentral:rRNA from 1 species
AUGCACACGCUCACCCUUUUCCUCCCCAAUGGCACAAUUUUAUUUACGGCCACGGUCAUCUUCCUCCUACCUCCUAGGCUUAAAAGAGGCCAUCUUCUUCAUCAUACCAUAUCUUCCCAAGGAGUUUCAUUCUCAGCUCAGCUCUUCCUCAGAUAUGCUCUAUCCCAUUCUUACAUGGUUCUCAUUGCCAUGUCAAGCUCCAGCGCUCCCCUUGUCGCACUAGAGGAGCAACCGCCCCUGCCACUCAUGGUUUGCCCAUUCUGCAACAAUGGCAUGGUUCAGUGUUGGGUAUCCCGCACAAACACCAAUCCAGGCAAGCAAUUCAACAAGUGCUAG